UUGGGUGGCGAGUGGCGAACGGGUGAGUAAUAUAUCGGAACGUACCGAGUAAUGGGGGAUAACUAAUCGAAAGAUUAGCUAAUACCGCAUAUUCUCUGAGGAGGAAAGCAGGGGACCUUCGGGCCUUGCGUUAUUCGAGCGGCCGAUAUCUGAUUAGCUAGUUGGUGGGGUAAAGGCCUACCAAGGCGACGAUCAGUAGCGGGUCUGAGAGGAUGAUCCGCCACACUGGGACUGAGACACGGCCCAG
rnacentral:rRNA from 1 species